GUUUUGUUAGAUCCAUGUCAAGAUAAUCCGACAUCUCUUGGCUGUACCAUCCCAGAAAUAUUAAUUGAAACUUGUAAGGAAAACACAGCCGCCUGGAAACUUUGUCGUAGGUCGUGUGGCUUGUGUGACUCAUGCUGGGAUUAUCUAGACUGCUCUUCACUAGGGGCACAGAGAGUGUAUUGUGGCAGGGAAGAAUAUGCUGUUCAGUAUUGUAGAAAAACAUGUGGAAAAUGUGCCCACAAACCUGUGGAUGUACAGUUGAAUAAAUGUGGAGACCCUGUGACUUCAGAGAUAAUUUGUGAGCAACUCCAGAAUGUAACCUGUAUUUGUAAUGACCCCGAUCUUCGUGCGCUUUGUGGCAAAUAUUGUGAAAACAAGUGCGAAGUAUAUGGCUAUCCGUACACUGGAUCCAACUGCAAGCCAGCCAGACGAAAGAAAAGGGAAACAGUUUUGAACCAAGUCGUAUUUAAUUGAAAUUCUGUAAUAACUGUAAUUAUUUUGGAAGAAUGUAUAAAGCGC